AGAGUUUGAUCCUGGCUCAGAACGAACGCUGGCGGCGCGUUUUAAGCAUGCAAGUCGAAGGAGAAUUCGGUGCUUGCACCGGAGGAAACUGGCGAACGGGUGAGUAACACGUGAGAAUUUAUCUUGAGGUGGGGGAUAGCCCAUGGAAACAUGGGGUAAUACCGCAUAUGUAUUUAUAUGAAAGGAGCUUUUGCUCCGCCUUGGGAUGAGCUUGCGGUCCAUUAGCUAGUUGGUAGGGUAAAGGCCUACCAAGGCGACGAUGGAUAGCCGGCCUGAGAGGGUGAUCGGCCACAUUGGGACUGAGACACGGCCCAGACUCCUACGGGAGGCAGCAGCUAAGAAUAUUCCGCAAUGGGAGAAAUCCUGACGGAGCGACGCCGCGUGAAUGAUGAAGGCCGAAAGGUUGUAAAGUUCUUUUAUAGGGGAAGAAUAAUGCUAGGCUUAGAAUACUUAGCAGAUGGCGGUACCCUAUGAAUAAGCCCCGGCUAACUACGUGCCAGCAGCCGCGGUAAUACGUAGGGGGCAAGCGUUGUUCGGAUUUAUUGGGCGUAAAGGGUAUGUAGGCGGUUUUGUAAGUGUGGAUUUAAAGACCAAGGCUUAACCUUGGGGUGGUCUGCAAACUGCAAGACUAGAGUUCAGGAGGGGAAGCUGGAAUUCCACGUGUAGGGGUGAAAUCUGUAGAGAUGUGGAAGAAUACCGGCGGCGAAGGCGAGCUUCUGGCCUGAAACUGACGCUGAAAUACGAAAGCGUGGGGAGCGAACAGGAUUAGAUACCCUGGUAGUCCACGCCGUAAACGUUGUACACUAGGUGUUAGAGGUUUAAGUCCUCUGGUGCCGGAGCUAACGCAUUAAGUGUACCGCCUGGGGAGUAUGCUCGCAAGGGUGAAACUCAAAGGAAUUGACGGGGGCCCGCACAAGCGGUGGAGCAUGUGGUUUAAUUCGAUAUACGCGAAGAACCUUACCAGGGCUUGACAUCUAGCGGACGGGUAUAGAGAUAUAUCUUCCCUCCGGGGCUGCUAGACAGGUGCUGCAUGGUUGUCGUCAGCUCGUGUUGUGAGAUGUUGGGUUAAGUCCCGCAACGAGCGCAACCCCUAUUGUUAGUUGCCAUCAGGUAAUGCUGGGCACUCUAGCGAAACUGCCGGUGACAAACCGGAGGAAGGUGGGGACGACGUCAAAUCCUCAUGGCCCUUAUGUCCUGGGCUACACACGUGCUACAAUGGGCUGUACAAAGGGUAGCAAUACUGUAAGGUGGAGCCAAUCCCAAAAAGCAGUUCGUAGUUCGGAUUGGAGUCUGCAACUCGACUCCAUGAAGUUGGAAUCGCUAGUGAUCGCAGAUCAGCAUGCUGCGGUGAGUACGUUCCCGGGCCCUGUACACACCGCCCGUCACACCAUCCGAGUCGAGGACACCCAAAGUUAUUACCCUAACCUUUUGGAGGGGGGUACCUAAGGUGUGCUUGGUAAGGAGGGUGAAGUCGUAACAAGGUA
rnacentral:rRNA from 1 species